AUGCGGGUCGGGACGGAAAAACCUGUCUGAUCAGACCCCGCAUCCCGCCCCGGCCCGUAAAUAUUUUUGCGAGGCACGGCAAAAUCUCGGCCCCAACCCGUGUAUUCGCGGGUUUCCACCUCGUCGUUGCGGUUCCCCGCAUAUAAGCGAAAGCAGUUGGUGAAAGGACAUUUCAGCCCGCGCUUUCCCUCAUCAAAGCAUAUUCCGCGAAUAUGCUCUUUUACUGAUCCCUUUGAGGAGUUUGUGCCAGCCCACAAAAGCUGUUUUACGCGAACUGUAAACACGUUUUGUGGACGAACGAAUGCCGGGUCUGCUGAAGUUUGCUCUUAGCGGCCAGAUCGGGAAACAACAGCCAGAUUGGAAGGUGGCGAGAAGGAAAGGAACAGAAAAAAAAAAAAGGGCCGAGGCCACUCCCGAACUACUUGGCUGUCCAUGCCCUGAGCAGCCACCCAAGCUAUCAUUGACAAUAUACGGUGCAUAGAACUUGGAUUUUCAUCAUAAAAAUCUCGAGAUAUUUGUUGCCAUGGAUUGGAAGGUGAGAGGGAUGGGUGAUGGCUACUGCCAUUACAACCACAUCCGCCACCUAUUUCUUCUUGCUUUGCUUGCACGCCUGGAACACCGAUUCCUUUGGCUUCCACUUUCGUCUUUCGACCCCUAUGACGUUCCGCUACUCCAGGAGGACGCUGAAGAACUGAAGAUUCAUGCCCCUUAAGAGCAGACAGGAAGAAGGUUCUGCCUCAUCAAGAAGCGAGGUUCUGGUGUUGUUGGAUGCAAUGGUGCCGUGGAGGAUGGAGGCGCGGCUGGCGGCGACGGUGCGGGCGGCGCUCAUCGGCUGGCUCUUCUUCUGCCUCACCGUCGCCAGCGACGUCGCGCGACAACUCAGGAGCAGCGAUCUCUCCGGCUAAGGCCGGCCGCGUUCGACGUCGCUGGCGGCGAAGAGCCGGCUCUGCGUCUACGAAGUGCCACUUCAUGUGGCGCAGAGGAAGAUUGAUUUACAGCAGGGUAUUUUGCAGUGUGUUCAACCGGCAGUUGAGCGCAAGUUCUCGUGUUUAUAAAACGGUUGUCGACUCAAUGUGCAGAUGCUCCCUGUAAGAUUUUCGACUAAAGCAUGUUGUUCCUUUGCUCA